AUUGAACGCUGGCGGCAUGCCUUACACAUGCAAGUCGAACGGCAGCAUGACGUGUAGCAAUACACGUUGAUGGCGAGUGGCGAACGGGUGAGUAAUAUAUCGGAACGUGCCCUGUAGCGGGGGAUAACCUAUCGAAAGAUGGACUAAUACCGCAUACGCUCUACGGAGGAAAGCGGGGGUCGCAAGACCUCGCACUAUAGGAGCGGCCGAUAUCGGAUUAGCUAGUUGGCGGGGUAAAAGCCCACCAAGGCGACGAUCCGUAGCUGGUCUGAGAGGAUGAUCAGCCACACUGGAACUGAGACACGGUCCAGACUCCUACGGGAGGCAGCAGUGGGGAAUUUUGGACAAUGGGCGCAAGCCUGAUCCAGCCAUGCCGCGUGAGUGA
rnacentral:rRNA from 1 species